rnacentral:sRNA from 1 species
CUAUAGUUGGCGUACCCUGAGGCCUGCCAGUUCCUGCCUUAAUGCAUAUGUAGUCGUAAUUGAGUUCUGACACGGCCUUGGAUGUUUCUGUCCUAAAUAGCUGACAUUGCAUCUUCAAGACUGUUGUGAAGAAUUUGGAAAUUGCAAGGAGCAUGGGAAGGAGAUGAUUUGGGCAUUCCAGUUGGCUUUUGAGUGGAUACUUGCAGUGAGAGCAUUGACACUGGAAACACUAGUUCCCAUUUUAAUUACUUAAAACACCACGAUGAAAAGAAAUACCUGUGAUUUGCUUUCUCGGAGCAAAAGUGCCUCUGAGGAAACACUACAUUCCAGUAAUGAAGAGGAAGACCCUUUCCGUGGAAUGGAACCCUAUCUUGUCCGGAGACUUUCAUGUCGCAAUAUUCAGCUUCCCCCUCUCGCCUUCAGACAGUUGGAACAAGCUGACUUGAAAAGUGAAUCAGAGAACAUUCAACGACCAACCAGCCUCCCCCUGAAGAUUCUGCCGCUGAUUGCUAUCACUUCUGCAGAAUCCAGUGGGUGAGUGCCCUCAGAUGUCAUUUCCCCAUUUUAUAUUUUAGAUGGUG